rfam:Drosophila busckii chromosome X sequence.
ACUGUGUCCAGUCUAAUUCUACAUCAUGUCAUAGUAUAUUGUCGUAGACUCGCUUUUGGACAAAAGCAAACAUACUUUUAUUAUCCUUGUGCUUGUGACAGAUUUAAGUCCUAUGCACACGAGAAACGUAGAAGAACAGCU